rnacentral:lncRNA from 1 species
GACUGCAGGUCACCGUGGGGGAGCAGCGCGAGGUGCUGAUGGCGGUGGCCGCGGCCGAAUGCAGGGGCACUGACCCGGUUGCCUGGUUGAGCAGCCAUGUCUUCAUGUGCGUGUCUGAUGUGUGUGUCUGAUGUGUGUGUGUGUGUGUGUGUCUGAUGUGUGUGUGUGUGUGUGUGUGUCUGAUGGGUGUGUGUGUGUCUGAUGGAUGUGUGUGUGUCUGAUGGAUGUGUGUGUCUGCUGUGUAUGUUUUAUGAAUUUAUGUGUGUUGCUGAUGUGUGUGCGCGUGCGACUUCCUAAGCAUGGUGUGGUGCAGGGCCACCUGCUCCCAGAAGGCUGGGAACAUUGGACUCGGGCACCCCACUGGACAAGACACGAGCACAACAGAGCAUCUGUGUAGAAAAGGAGGUUCAGCUGCCCGCCCGAUGACAGCACGUCUGGACACACACACACCGUCACAUACACACACACCGUCACACACACCGUCACACACACGUACACACACACACACACACACCGUCAAACACACAUACAUACCCCAUCAUACACACAUACACACCAUCACAUACACAAGAGGCCAUCAGCAUUGCCCAGCAUGCCGCCAAACGGCUUCUGCAUCUGGCUGUUGCCGCCCGCUGGUUAUUGUUAAAUAAGAUGAGGGCCCCGUGGCCGCCGGUGUUCCUUUCUGCCCGCUCUCAAUGCGUCGCAGCUGCCCUAACAAGCACGUCUAUAUCGUCGGCAACUGCGGCAGCCCCGUGGAAACAGCCUCGUGUAACGAGUGUGGCGCACCGGUGGGCGGCAGGGACCACCUGCUUGGACACGGAAACCAGCUGGCAUACGAGAUUGUGGCGCAGGUUCAGGCACAGACAAGCGUAAGAUGAGCUCGUAUAAUCUACCGGAAAAUUUCUUGUUUCAUCACGAGGGCCUGUCUCACACAGCUUGGGUGAACGGGGGUAGGUCGGGAAUCGGCAUCUGAGGCGAUUGCGGCAGAUGCCUUCCUGGAGGUACCUGCGGGCUGCAGGCGCCCAAAUCCAGGCGUCUUCUCGGCUUUUUGGUGAGGCGUCGCAUUGCCCUAUUGUCCCGUCAUGUUGUAAUACAUAACUGCAGCCUCGACAAAACUUGUGUGCGUACGGGAGGCAAAUGAUGUGGCAGUAUGGAGAAGGCGGACGUUAUGAGGUUUGAAACUGUUUAUUUGGGCCUCUGUUGCUGUUCCUUGCGUUCGUUAUAUAAAGAAUCUUGUC